rnacentral:lncRNA from 1 species
GUUAAUAUCCUGGGCAUCCUUCCACCGGUGGGCCAGAUUGAUACCUCCACUCCAAGUUCAGUAACAGGCUAUCCACCUUGAAGAAGGGGAAGUGCUGUGAAGAAAGCUCAAGCAAGCUACGAAGGAGGUCAUGGUGAGUGCAGGACCACUGCCCACAAAGGGGAAGAGCAGGCGGCUGAAGAGCCUGAGCUGAAAUGGUGUGUCCUCUCCCACGGCUUGGAGGAUAGGCACAAAUGCUACUGGAGUGCAAGUCAGACCUGAGAUCUGGAAAAGGUCUGACCCAGAACUGGAAGCUCUAUUUAACCUUGAGGCGGGGUAAGACUCACUGGCCAAUCAAGGUCCCCGGGCGGACCUGCCAGUCAGACAAUGAGGAGGGUUCUUCCGGGUGGCUUGCUGCACGUUUGUUUCGGCUGUGCAGGCUUGAAUGGUUCUUUUCGUCCUGCUUGCGUGCUGUGAAGGGACCUCAAGCAAGCUCCGAAGUUGAGACAUGGCUACAAUUGGGAAGACCAUCAUAUUGAAGAACAUUGUCAAAAUUCUAGAAGACAUGAAAGGUAAUUUUCUUGUGCAAGCUGAUAUAAAUACAACUAAGGAAAUUUUAGUAUUUCUUAGAAGCUCUAAAGA